CCUACAGUGCUUUCAGACAUCAGUUUGCAGUGUCGACUAAAGCUUCCGGCACUGGGGACUGCCUAACAGAUAGCUGGCAGCAACUGGGUGCUACACUUGAUCCCCAGCAUCUCUCACCUCCCUUCUCUUCUGUCCCCUGUCCUCACCCAAGUGAGUCAGAACCUGAGAACCAUGAGCAGCACUGGUUUUGGAUUGGCCUGAACCGCAGAGACCCUAGAGAGGGUCACAGCUGGCGCUGGAGCGACGGUCUAGGGUUUUCCUACCACAAUUUUGCCCGGAGCCAGCACGAUGACGACAAUAUCCGAGGCUGUGCGGUGCUGGACCUGGCCUCCCUGCAGUGGGUAGCCAUGCAGUGCCAGACACAACUUGACUGGAUCUGCAAGAUCCCUA
rnacentral:lncRNA from 1 species